CCCUUAGAUGUUCUGGGCGGCCCGCGCACUACAUUGGCACUCUCAAUAAGUUCCUAGAUCUAAAACUUUGGGGUAUUCUAUUAAGUGGUGUCGUGACUGGGAUUAACCCUUGCAAUUAUUGGUUACGAACGAGGAAUUCCUUGUAAUCGCGGUUUAUCAGCCCGCGUUGAAUGCGUCCCUGCCCUUUGUACACACCGCCUGUCGCUCCUACCGAUGAAUCGUCCGGUGAAGUUCAUGGAGUGGUGGUUGUUCCAGCUGCUGUCGAAGUGAAAUGGACCUCACGAUUUAGAGGAAGGAGAAGUCGUAACA
rnacentral:rRNA from 1 species